UUUGACGUCCCCGCGGCCUACGUCGGCCAAUGACGAGCGAGCUGAGUUGGAGCAGAGAAGUUUGAGUAAGAGAUAAGGAAGAGGCUCGUGGUCGAGGCGCGCGGAGUUCUACGCACUGGGCAGCGCCUCCGCCGCUCUCUCGCUUGCCUGGACCGGCAGCCCGCGGGGGGUUUUCUUCGAGCGGAGCCACCCUCACCGCAGGAAGAAGGGAGCCCGGCUACCCCGCCUUCUUGAGGCCGAUUCCAAGCGCGGCGGCAGAGCCAGCAGCAUCCCUGCCGUCCCUUGACAGCAUCUUCUUCUUCCCUCCCUCUCCGGGGCAAAAAGCAGCCGCCGGUUUAUUUUUUUAUUAUUAUUAUUUUCAUCUUGGGAAAGUUCCUGUGCAGCCGUGCACCAUUUCACUGUGGACACUAUACCCUUGGGUAGAGAUGGGCGAUAUGGGCGACCCACCGAAAAAAAAACGGCUGAUUUCCUUGUGCGUCGGUUGCGGCAAUCAAAUCCACGACCAGUAUAUUCUGCGGGUUUCCCCGGAUUUGGAAUGGCACGCGGCGUGUUUGAAGUGCGCGGAAUGUAACCAGUAUUUGGACGAGACUUGUACGUGCUUUGUAAGGGAUGGGAAAACCUACUGUAAGCGAGACUACAUCAGGUUAUACGGCAUCAAAUGCGCCAAGUGCAACAUUGGUUUCAGCAAGAACGACUUCGUGAUGCGCGCCCGCUCCAAAGUCUACCAUAUUGAGUGCUUUCGCUGCGUGGCCUGCAGCCGCCAGCUUAUUCCAGGGGACGAGUUCGCGCUGCGAGAGGACGGCCUCUUUUGCCGAGCGGACCACGACGUGGUGGAAAGAGCCAGUCUCGGCGCCGGGGACCCCCUCAGCCCCUUGCACCCCGCCAGGCCGCUCCAGAUGGCAGCAGAACCUAUCUCCGCCAGGCAGCCGGCUCUCCGGCCUCACGUCCAUAAGCAGCCGGAAAAGACUACUCGCGUCCGGACCGUCCUCAACGAAAAGCAGCUUCACACUUUGAGGACCUGCUAUGCCGCCAAUCCCCGGCCCGACGCCCUCAUGAAGGAACAGCUGGUGGAAAUGACCGGGCUCAGCCCCAGAGUGAUCCGGGUCUGGUUUCAAAAUAAGCGUUGCAAGGACAAAAAACGGAGCAUCAUGAUGAAGCAGCUGCAGCAGCAGCAGCCCAACGACAAGACGAACAUCCAGGGGAUGACCGGCACUCCCAUGGUGGCAGCCAGUCCAGAGAGACAUGACGGUGGCUUGCAAGCAAACCCAGUGGAGGUGCAGAGUUACCAGCCGCCCUGGAAAGUCCUCAGCGAUUUUGCCUUGCAGAGUGACAUAGAUCAACCAGCUUUUCAGCAACUUCCUCCCUGGCUACUUCUGCUUCCUGAUCUGAAAAAACUGCAUGGGUGGCAUGAUAAAUCCCACAGAAAUCCUUUGGGCUUCAACUGAAAUGAGCGAUGUCAGAAAGGCAGCAGACCCCGAAGAGAGUGUUGCACAACCAUAGAAAGGGACUAUCACACAUCUUGGACCUCUUGUAAAUAAGACAAGACAUGUGAUGCAUAUUUAAGAGCAUCCCUAAUUCAAAUUCCAGCUCAGUUCAGACAAGCUAAUAUAUCUCAGCUCCAGACCUCUUGCUCAGUUGUUAAUGCCAAGUUGACGUAAAAUAAAUCCACUCUGAUCAGCUGAGCCAACUGCCAUUCAUUGCUCAGGGAAUUUCUCAUCUAUGAAAAUUACACAUAGAAGAACUGUAGCUGAAUGAUAUGGUUCAAACCUUAGUUGUGGAUGAUUCCAAGUUUGCCUCUGUCAAUAAUCAGAUGGAAAAUGAUGUGUGAGAAAGGAGAGAUUUCAAGGAAUGACUGAUGAUCAAAUUAGGUAAUGCUACUCUUAAUUCAGAUCACAGGACAAACCCUUUACUUUCAGCAAAUAGGAGAAUUGAUAUUUUCUGUAGAAACACAGGCAGCUUCAGCCUGGUAUGCAGCCAAACUACUUUUGUAAUUCAGUAUAAAUGUCAACCAUAUCCUCACAAUGCUAACAUACUUACAGUCAAAGGUCCUAUGUAGGUUCAUUCAUAAGGAGUCAAUGAUACAAAAGGAGAACUGACUGUGUUAAUUAACAUGGGUAGGAUCAAGUUUGGAUAAAUAUCCAUUUCCUCACAGGAACCAGAAUUCAGUCCUAAUCUGUUCAGAUUGAAACUUUAUGCAAAGCAUCUUUACUAUAUCUUGAAGUGUCUUUUUGGGGUGGCCCCUUGUAGCAAUUCAGGUCAGUACCUUGACUUGAAAAGUCAAAUUGCUUUGCUUUUAAGCCUAAUUGAAACUACUUAAUUCAGACAUCUAUUUUGAUCCAAUACAAAGGGGCCACUAUUGUCAGAUGCAAGUAAUCAGAAGCAUUUAUUAAAUUCAAAACACAGAAGAGUUUAUUAUUGCUACCUCUAUACAAGAAUCUAGCCAACUAGCAGUCAAAGCUAAAUUGGUGCUAAAUAAAGGCCAGUAUAAUUCACAGGGAGCUGGACUUAAGUCUGUUGUGGCAAAGCAAUGCUUCCAAACUGAUGACAUGUUUAGUUCCAACUUCCAGCCUAACUUGGUCUUCUCCUACAAUUAUACACAAAACCCAUAGACAGGAGUUUUGUUAGCCUCUGGAUUGAGAGCUUCAUGUAUUUCUGAAGACUGCUGAUUCACUUUGAAUGGGAUCUUCAGCUGAAGCUUUGUCAAAUGGAAUUACUUCUUUGGAGCUAUGCACAGUCGUGUCUGCAGAUAAGGUUCCUAUUCAGGAUACAAAUAGGGUCAAGUCCUUUAAAUUCAUAUAAUUGGCAGAGCACAAUUCAUUUUCUCCCCAAAAUAAUUCUGAACUAUGAUCUCAUACAUCUUGGCCAGCAGAUGCAAGAAUCCUAUCCCCAAAUAUUCAUUUAAUAUUUGUGGUCUCAUAUCAUCAGUUGAAAGCUGCUUUAAUGAGGAAGAAAUUACGUGAAUGGUCUGGAUUCAAGAGAUAAGGAAAUGUCUUAAGAAGAAUUUAUUAAAAGCAGUUACAGACUAAAUAAUUAUUGAUCUAGUUAGAAACAGUAAUAAUAUUUGUUCUAGUUCUUUCUCAAAUUGAGGGAAUGGAAGCCUGGCUUACAUAAAUAAUAAUCAGACCCAAUAUGGAGCUAUCUUCCUGAACAUCUCCAAUCAGUAUACUUGCUGGAGCAUGCUCUUUGUCUCUUGAAUCAGAAGUCCACAAUCUGAAAUAUUUGCAAUGCCUCCAUCAUUUUCCUUUGGCAAUCCUAAUUGUGCUGAUUGAUUGAACUCAGAAUUGCCAUGCAAUGGAAGGAAUUCUGACUAUCUUCUAUUCUAAAAAUGGCAAAAUGAAUUAAUAUGUGAAGAAAAAGAGGGUUUGAGUUGUGCUUUUGAUAUUGCUUGUUGUGACUUGACUGCAUUUGGAAAAGGUUGGUUGGUUGGAUCUUACCUAUUUAAUCAACAAAGAAAAGGAGAAUUACCCUUCCCUUUAGGGACUAUAAUCCCGAGUACUUUUUCUGUGGGAAUCCAUCCUUAAUGAAAGCCAAUAUAGUGUGGUGGUUAGGAAAGAACACUAGGCCUGGAAAGGUCCAUAUAUUUGUCCAUCUUAAAUCAUGGAAGUUCUCUGGAUAACUUUGGACCAGACACUCUUUCUUUGCCUCUGUCUUAUAUCACAAUGUUGUGGGUGGGAAAAGGAGAAGGGAGCAAUAUGUGCCCCAACAAGCUGUUGAAUAAAAGGCAGGAUGUAAACAUCACAAAUGAGUCCCCCUUGGUAUUGUCUUCUGAUGAUAAAUUGUUUUUAUUAAUAUCCUACCUAUGUAGGAUGACCAGUUUCCCUAAUGUUCUUUCAACUCCAAGCCAGCUAGAUUUGCAAAGAAAAACAAUAUUGAAAAUUGGUUUUGAAAAAAAACACGAGCGGAUUUUUCUGCUCAGUACUAAAUCAUACAUACUGUUUGGCAAAAUUCAUCUGCAGUAUUUUUUCAACCAUUUUUUUUUAUCCUUUUGGUGCUUUAGAAACUAUUCUAUUUCAAGAAAAAGAAGAGAAUUUCAUAGGAAUUUUCAUGGAUGGACUAUUAUCUUCUUUCCCUUAUAUUGUUUGGAGAACUUGAAUUGGGCUGGUCUAUGUGUUUGGAUCAGUGUCCUGUCUUUCUCUCCACAAUCAUCUCCCCAGUAUCCUGCCACUUCCUAGCUUCUGUAUUAUAUUUUAAGGAAACAUCUUCUUAUAUUGAGUUUUUCCUAUAGGUGUAUUCUUGUCGUUAAAAGGGAAUCCUUAUCUUCAAAAUGACUGGAGAAUUUCACAUUCCUUCAAAGAAGUUUGGAGAAGUGUACAUUAAAUUUCUCUGACCACACAUUUGACAGACAAUUUUGAAAAGCCAUAUGUAUGCAAACUCUAUGGUGGAUAGUUAACUAUGGAAACAAGAAGGCAGCCCGGCAGUCUUGUAUGUUGUAAUCUUUCUUCUGAUCUGUAAUGAGGAGUUGGAGACUGAAGGUUUACUACUAUAAUUCUUGAAUGACAUUCAGACCAUAAGAUGCUGCAUGCUCAUUCAGAAUAAGAGGGCCUAAUUGUCUGCUCUCAAAGUGACGAGAGACUGCAUAAAGGUAGUUUUGUAUUCCCACCAUUACUGUUAAUAUGAACCAUGUCACAUCUCUCUUGUUUGAAGUAGGUUUUUAGAAGCAUAAUCCAUAGAGGGAUUACCUUGGAAACACACUCUGAAUUUCCAGAGAUGAUUGGACAGGUCACUAGGCAUUCAAGAAAAGGGGGCAGGAGAGACAAAGUGAGGCUGGAUGGCCCUCUUACAUAGUCUUCCAAUGUAUGGGGAUGAGUCUUGUCAAAUAGCAUUUUUUUUAAAAAAAGUAGGGUUUUAUACAGCAUAAUACUUAGGGCUCCAAAUAAAGCCUUGCAGCCCUAAUCCUCUUGUUCAAGAGAAGAACAGGGAAGAAACUUGGAUGACGCUUACAUGCAUAAUUAAUUUAUUAUGUUUGAAUACAAAAUAAAUGGUGCAUAGUUAUGUAAAAUAGAUUUUUCCUCUAUCUCUGCCAUUGAGCAGGUAAUUUCUACAAUAGAAAUUUUGAGACACAAAGGGUGAAAACAUACAUAAGGUUUUCUCCAGUGGAGAAUUUUGUUUACCACACACAGUUCAUAAAUUAAGAAUCUGAAUCCAGGUGUAUCUACGGGAAGGCUGGAAAAAAUCAAGAAGGCAGUCAGGGCCAUGGAAUCCAAACUCCACAACUUUGGGAAUAUGUGUGAUGUUGAUGCACAUAGAAAAAAAAGGGCUGUGGGGAGACUUCAAUCAGAGGGUUGAAUCUUUCUUCUUGAUUUUGAUAUCCCUGUAAAUGUUGCAGCCGAAACCUGUGAAACUGUACUAUGUGCAGAUAUAAUAAAUACAUGCAAAUCACCCCAAGUGUUAUUUGCAUCCUUAAUUUGAUUCAGAUUACUGAAUUGAUUCAAUCUGAAUAGUUGAUUUGAAACAUGAAAUCAAAUCAAUUGGAUUUAAAUCAUCCAUUUGGAAAAAAGUGCUGUUUGUACAUUGUCAAAUGAAUAUUAAAUUAGACCUAGGGUAAUUUAACAUUUCAGAUAGAUGCAUCCUUUUAAAAGAUUAGAAUUAGGAGAUUUGAUUUAAAGGAAUGAUUUGUGAAAUUACCUGCAAAUAGUCACUUCAAAUUAACUCUUGGCACAGGCAUGCUAUAAUACAUCACAAACUCCCUCUGUCCUUUUUCUAUUUCUUCAUAAUUUUAAUAGCAAAGUCCAAGGUUAGUCUGAAGUCUGGAAAUUAGUCUACCCAAAGAUGCCUGCUAUGGUGGAAUGGGACAACUCACCAUGGCCAACUCGCCAUGGCCAACUCGCCAUGGGAGAAUUCAACAAUUCAAUUUAAUUAUUUAAAAUAAUUUUAAAAAUAUUUUAAUUUUUGUCAUUCAUAUUUUACUUUGUCCUUUCUUUAAUGAUUUAUUCCAUCAUUUCUUUAAUAUUAGUGUAACUCUUUCCUGUGGCAAGUUGUCUCACGAUAAGUUGGUCAUGGCAUGUUGUCCCAUGGUGAGUUAGCCAUGAUGAGUUGGCCACAGCAAGUAGUAAUAGAACCUCCUAUGGUGGCAGCCAGGUUCUUGAUUUAACUCAAUUCUGUUUUAACAUUUUGCUUUAUAAACAAACAAACAAACAAAAGCACAUCUCAAGCAGAAGCCUAACAUAUUUAUUUACAUAGAGGUUAUUCUUUGAACAUUUUUUUUAAAAAAAACCAAGUGGAUUGUUAUAACUCAAUCUGUUUUUCCUAAGAGUGCCUGGAAAGAAUCUAAAGAAGUGAUGUGUCAACUCUACAAUGAACCUGGCUGAAGCUAUCUUGCAUGUUCUAGGUUGCCACAAGAAAGGGAGGGAGUGCGGAGUAUUUUUGCUAAUCUAAACAAUAAACCAAGGUCAUUCUAUCAGUUAGCUUAGCGGGUUGAGCAUUUUGUUAGAAAGCCCAGCAAAUUAUUCUAUUGGGGAACGUAGCUGAUUGCAUAACACUAGGGUGGGAUGUUUGACUUUGUAAGAGUGUAACUCUUUGGUGGGAUUUCAGACUUGGUUUCACUUUUGACCGUGCUGAUAUUUUGUAACCAAUAAACAUGUUCUUUGAGGAAAUCUCUGAUUUUGUUGGCCUUAUCAUUGGAAUCUUGACAUGGUGGUGAGCAGUAUUCUCACUUUCUUGCCUUUGGGCUAAUGGUUGCUUAUUCUGGCCCACUAUCGGCACCAUUUUGUGAAUCUGUGGAAUUCCUUUAAAAUUACAAAUCCAUCCCCUGACUGUAAACAGAGUCUACUGGCAAAGACAAUAGUAAAUAAUAUUCCAUUGAGAGUGAAAGUGUCAAAUGACUUCAGUGAAAUCUGACCUGUCUUGAUGUCCCAUACUCUGUAGACAAGGAAUGAAGCAAAAGUAAUCUUUCUGUGGAGUGAAGGAAUAAUAGCAACCAGAAGCUUACAUAGCAACCAUUCUUGUUUAUUAACAAUUAAGUGCAAAUAAUAAGAUGACGCUAGAAUACAAAGGCAUCUGCAUCUGUAAUGUUUUUGUUAUUUUGUCUGUCAUUUGCUGAAUUUAGCAGGAAGGGUUUAUGGAUGCCAACAGCCCAAGAACCAUAUAUGCAGCAAACUCCCACUUUUCAUGUUAUUUAUAAAACUCAUGUGAUCAUACAUGCUGUUGGUAACUUUUUCAUCCUGGGCAUCUUCAGAAUGAACAUACUGGCUGUAGCUGAAAUUUGUACAGCUGGAUGGAGCUCAGGUUGAGGAAAGGAUGUUACAUUGCAGUGGACUGAUUUUGUAAUAUAUUCACCACACAAAAAUGUAUGCGUGCAAGCACACACACACUUCAGCUUUGCCUACAUAAACAUGCAGAUAUUGAAGAUCCUGCUCCUAUCAGUUUUCACAUGUAAUUUUCACACAAUCAAGUAUGUUUCUGACAAUUUAAUUUUCAGAAAUGAGUUUGGGUAGACCAAGCUUCCUGCUUUCUGCUAUAGCCUGCCAAGGUCUUUUGGAAAACUGACAUCUUUUUUUUUAAAUUUAGUUUAUAUAAUUUCUUUCCAGAGAACCAAAGAAUCUCAACUUUUGCUUUGCAAAACUUCCUUGUUUUUUGAAGUCUAACAAAUUACAAUUAAAAAAAAACCCUGUAAUUCGUGAGAAGCAACCUAAUCUUGGUGCAUUUAUGUCAAAAUUAAUUGUGGAUUUCACUCAGGAAAUAUCAAUUAUUUUCUACAAUUCUUGUUUUGUUAAAUCCAAGCAAGAGGAGGUUUGGAUAUACUAAAGAGUACAGUAUGCAAUCUAAUUAUCAAUGUACAUAAUCUUCAACAUUCCAUGAUCAUAAGGAGAUUGAUACAUUGAAAUUUGCUUCUGGAUGUGGCUAUGAUCAAUUAAGGUUUCACCUAACACUUUUUAGUAAGACAGAGAAGGCAAGGAGCUCUCAAUGUACCUAAGCCAUAUGCAGUAUUCCAUGAUUCAGUUCUCCAAAGCCCAGUUUUUCCAAUCUUGCUUAUAAUAUCCCAUGCAAGUUAGGAUUUUUAAUCUGGAGGCUGCCUUCCAAAUCAACAUAUGUUGCCUACAACUCAACUGCUCAGAAGCACAGGCAGUAUACUAACUUACACUCAGUCUGUGUUGAAUGUUCAUAGAGGAUUAAACCACUUAGGAACAAACUUUACAAACUGGGGCCACCUUUUUUUAAAAGGGGGGCAUAUAGAUCUUCCAUUAAUUGGGGGGCAUUUCAAUAUAUGAAAGUUUUAAGAUGCUUUAACACUUCUGCUUCCCACCAAUUUUCAACUAUCUGCAGGCAACAUUCCAUGCUAUGAUUUGAAAGGAAACUGAUAACUGCAAAAUCAACAAUAUUGCCAUCAUGAUAAUCACCAUCUUAUGACAAUAAUUGGAUAAUUCCUAAAUUCUUGGCUGGGACUCGAAUUUCCAAAGAAGCCAAUCAGAGAUGUGAUUCAUUUGGUUUGUUCUUGUCCUGUAUUAUUCCUUGAAGAAUAAAAACUGAUCAUAAUCAUGUAAUCAAAUAAAAGUUAAAGAAACAGCAGCAGCAAUUUGGGGACAUGAUAAUAUGAGUUGUUUAACCCUGGUUCAACAUCAAAAUUUGUGUUCUCCCCCAUCUGCUGUGGCAUCUCUGUGGUGUUACAGGAGAAGUUCUGAAUGAGAAUAAGCAUGCAAUCAAAUGCAAAAUAAGAGAAAAACAGAGUUGGAAUGCAUGCGUUCUUUGUAUGUUUUAUCAUCUAGCCCCCUAAAUCAUCUUUGUUGCUCUUCUCUGCACUCGACUCUCAACAUCUUUUUUAAAUUGUGGCUGCCAAAACUGGAUGCAAUAUUCCAAGUGUUGUCUUACCAAAGCUUUAUAAAAUGGCAUUAAUACUUCAUGUGAUCUUAAUUCUAUCCCUCUAUUAUUGCAGCCUAGGACUGCAAUAGCUUUUUUGGCAAGUUAAAGGGUAUUUUUUUUAGCAAUUACAGUUAUUCUUGGGACAAAAAUCCUAAACAAGCAAAGUUCCUGCACAGUCAAGAUUCCCAAUUCUAGGGAGGGAUGGAAAUGAACCCCAUAGAAAUUCCUCUUCAUCUUUUCUUAGUCCUGAAGAGGGCACUCCAAAGUAUGAACAAAAGGUCUAUAUGAUGGUUCAGUCAAAGUUCCCUCCUUUUUAUGUGCUUCCUAGAGUUUACAGAAGGUGUACAAUAGAGGUGGGCGAUGUCAGUAUGAAUAUUUGUAUCUUGCCUUCACUUUUCUACUUUGUGACCAAAAUAGGCAGAGCCUUUUUCGUCAAUACCAUUGUUCUGACCCAAAUUAUGCUGGCAAGGCAGAGGUUAAAGAGGGUCUGUUUAUUGUUCAUUUAUCACAGUGACAAAUGAGCCACCAAUGGCACCAGUGAAGAUCCACCCCAACCUUCAGUUUUCCCUCAGUCUGGAUUCACAAACUAAAUCCUAACUGACUAAUGAGGCAAGAGAGAAGUAACAAUACCACAAGUCCAGAGUUUCAACAAUCAAAGUACAGUCCAAGACUACAAAAUCUGAGAGCCAAGUACAAAGUCCACAAGAGUCCAAGAUUCAGAAGUCGAAAACACAGUCCAACAUUCAAGAAAGAGGAUCCAGGAAAGCCGGGAAGGUGCACAUCAAACAAGCUGUUAUUCCCAACAAACACACUUUCCCCCAGCGUCUAGUUAAAUCACCCUUCCCUAGCUAUUCCUUGGGAGAAAGGAGUCAGGCUGCUUUCUCACAAGCAGUCUUGCUGACUUCCUCUGUGUCUCUCUCCACUCUGCUCUCCUCACUGGUGGAUCGAGUGUGUGUGUGGGGGGGUAGCUGUUCCCUGUCAGAGGUGGUCUGGAGCUUAUCAUCUCUGCUGGGUCUCUGCAGUUGAUCUGCUCCUGCAGGCGGCUCUCUAUCCAAUUGGCCCAUCCCCUCCCCGCCAGAUGGCCUGGGACUGCCUCAUCCUCAGACCUUGGACUUUCCACUCAGAGAGGACCGUGUCCUCCCUGUUGAACAGGAGUCCUGGUUUCAACUCCUCCUCCUCUGAACCGGGAUGUGACAAAGCCAUGACAACCAUGCAUUUUCUGCAGAUAUGGAUAAUAUUUUAUUUCCAGAACGAUGAAUGAGUAUCUAAAUGUCAAAGAAACUGGCAGUAGGCACGCCCUUCAUUUUGGAUAUAUUUUUCAGCCAUGCUGUGCUUUCAAAUAUGUGCCAUGAUGAUACACUGGUUAGAAUGCAGUACUGCAGGCAGUUCAAUUCUCACCGGCUCAAAGUUGAUUUCAGCCUUCCAUCCUUCCAAGGUUGGUAAAAUGAGGGCCCAGAUUGUUGAGGGCAAUAUGCUGACUCUGUAAAUUCCUUAGAGAGGGCUGUAAAGCACUGAGGAGUGGUACAUAAGUCUACAUGCUAUUACUAUUGCUAAAGGUUUGUAGCUUGAAUGCAUGAAGGAUUCAUGUACAGUACUGUUCUGAAUUAUCUUCCAGAAUUUUUUUAAUGUUUUAUUAUUGCUUUUAAGUUCAAUUAAAAUUAUAGCUUUUAAGUGCAAUUGAAACUUUCAAAGCAGAGAAGAGGAGAGGAAGAAAAGGGAAGUAGGCAAGAAAGAGAAGAAAGGGAGAAAGAAGGUAGAGAAGAAGGAGUGUGGAUACAGUGAAAGGGGAAA